ensembl:lncRNA
GUCUGUGGGGCGUUAUACUUACACAUAUAUAUAUAUAUAUAUAUAUGCGUUUUUUUUUUUUAUGUUUUUUUUUUUUUUUUUACACACCAUACGUCACUGCACAGGUAUCCCAGCAUGAUAAAAUAUUUUAUGAUAAAAUUAACGACUUCAUUAUACAUCAGAAUGUUUUAACAAAGGCUCUACUAGUUACAGACAUAAAAAAAAAUAAAGAGAAAUAUAAAGGCGUGUAUGUAAAAUUUGAUAAACGAAUGUGUGAAAGUAUUUGUUUUUCAAUGAAUAAUAAUUUUUUUCUUUAUUAUUCUAUAAACCCAAACAAAAUAGAAUUAUCUGACAUAUUAAAUAAUCACAAUAUAUAUUUAAAUGUUGAUAUACCUAAUAUAAACGAGGUUGAAAUAUUAAGCGUUUUUUGGUUGCAUAAUAAAACGAAAGGUGGUGGAAUAAAUGAUAAAAAUGAACAAAAUGAUAAAAUUGAAAAAAAUGAAAAUAUAAAUACUUCUGAUUUUGUAGUAGUAACUAAUAAUUACAUACAAAUUUGCAACAUAUCGUUUGAUCAAUUAAUUAUAACCCCUACAAAAAUACAUUAUAUUAAUAGUUCUUGCUGUUGGUAUGAUGAAAGUAGCUACUAUGUAGCAUUAUUAGCAUCUACGAAAAAUAAUUUGAUAUUGCCAUACGUAUUAAGUAAUAAUAAUAUUAUAAAGUUAUCUAAAAUAGAAUUAAAUAUUUUAAAAAGUGAUAAAAUUUGUAAAAACGACAUAGCUAUUGUUACUUUAUAUAAGAAUACAUAUUGUAUACAUAAAGAUUACAAAAAUGGAAGAAUAUCGUUUCGAUGUUUAUCUAAUAACGUUUAUUUUGAUUAUGUGUUAGAUUUAUUUUAUAAUGGUAUGAUGGAUACUUUUUUGUUUGACAAUCUGUUUGGAGUAUAUAACUAUUCAAACCAAAAUGUGUAUUUAUUUGAUAUAAAUUAUAAAAAAAAAAAUACAAAACUUAAUAACUAUUUAAAUAAUACUAUCAAUAGUAAUAAUGAUAAUAAUAAUAAUGAUAAUACUAUUACUAAUAAUACCAUUAACAUUUCAUAUUUGACUACACCAAAAAUUUUUAAAAAAAAAAUAAAUUUUAGUCAUAUUAUAUUUAAUCCAUAUAAUGUGCUAAUAGAUAAUCACUUUGGAAAUGUGUACAAAAUAGAAGUGGACUACGACUUACUAAUGUUGCAAAUAUGUCAGCACUUUGCUAAUUUGAACACAGCUGUUGACACACUGCUAAGAAGGCCUAACUGCAAAACAAGAAUCACCGAAAUGUUUUGCCUGGCUUUAGAAAAUGACAUAAAACUUGAAGAUUUUUUAUUAAUAGCAAACAUUACUAAUGCUAAUUACAAAAGGAUUAUCGAAGAAUGCGUAAAAAAAGGGAAUUCAAGUACCAUAACAAAAAUUAAUAAUAAAAUAAUCCAACCAUUAGAUAAUUUGUUAAAAAAUGUAAAAGAUGAAACAUUAAUUACCGAAAGAGAUAUAGUAUCUGACGUGUUUCAUCCGUAUAUGAUAAAAAAAUACAAUUUAAGUAAAAACGAAACUUUGUUUAAUUAUUCUUUAAACGCUCGGAGCGAGCUCAAAAGGGUAAAAGAGAAAGGAAAAAAUAAAAUGGGUGGCAAAAUGGGUGGCAAAAUGGGUGGCCAAAUGAAUAAAUUAAAGCAACCUAUAAAAAAUUAUCAUGAUGAAAAAAAAGAACACGAAGAAAGUAAUGUUUUGAAUACAAAAGAAUCAUAUAAAAAGUCAAAAAGCGAAGAUUUGAAAAAAAAUAACGAACAAGCAAAUGCUAGUGAUGUACGUGUUAAAAGUGAUGUUCUUCCUGCAGAUAAUACACCCACAGAAACACAAAACCAAUACAAGUGCAUCUAUAAUUAUAGAGAUCUAAAUAAUACCUCUAUGCUUUUAAUUUAUGUAUUAGGAUAUAUGAAGUCUUUACUACUUUUGAAUAUAAUACCUAAUAGAGUGCUACAAACAUUUAUUUUUGAUUUAUGUAUUUUUUUUAAACAAGAUGUUUUUUUAAGACAGUUGUUACAAUUUUAUGUUAUAUCUGAUUCCGUUGAAAUAACUAAAAGACUAUUUCACUAUUGGAAAAUGACAAAACUUGAUUGGACUUAUCAAUUAUGCUUAGAUAUGUCUUUACGUUUAAAAGAAUAUGACAUGGUUGUCCAUAUUUUUCUAGCUGCAAAAAAAUAUUUAAAAAUUAUAAAAUUUAUAAGAACGUAUAAUUUAAUUGAUUAUCCUAUUUCUGUUAUUUUUCAAUCAGUAGAAAAUGACUUAAAUUCUUCGAACGGUUAUAUU